rnacentral:tRNA from 1 species
UCCUCAGUAGCUCAGCUGGUAAGAGCACCUGACUGUUAAUCAGGGUGUCGCUGGUUCGAAUCCAGCCUGGGGAG